CUUCCGUAGGGKGACCUGCGGAAGGAUCAUUA
rnacentral:rRNA from 1 species